rnacentral:rRNA from 1 species
GAUGAACGCUAGCUACAGGCUUAACACAUGCAAGUCGCGGGGUAACAUCUGGUAGAGCUUGCUCUUCCAGGAUGACGACCGGCGCACGGGUGAGUAACGCGUAUCCAACCUGGCCCAUACCACGGGAUAGCCCGUCGAAAGGCGGAUUAAUACCGUAUGCUGUCAUUAAGAUGCAUAUAUUGAUGACGAAAGGACUGGCGGUAUGGGAUGGGGAUGCGUCUGAUUAGCUUGUUGGCGGGGUAACGGCCCACCAAGGCGACGAUCAGUAGGGGUUCUGAGAGGAAGGUCCCCCACAUUGGAACUGAGACACGGUCCAAACUCCUACGGGAGGCAGCAGUGAGGAAUAUUGGUCAAUGGGCGUAAGCCUGAACCAGCCAAGUAGCGUGAGGGAAGACUGCCCUACGGGUUGUAAAACCUCUUUUGUUUGGGAAUAAAAGUGCGGGACGUGUCCGCCAUUGCAUGUACC